CUUUUUCAUCAUCACAAGUCAAAGUAACAGAUAUUAAAAUAUCUAAUGGGUCGAUCCACUGGACUGACCCGGUCCAAUAAGAUUAAAUAAAGUUGACACAAUAAAUGGGCUCAAAGAGUCCCAUGGCUUAAUUAUACAAGCCCAACAGAUUAAACUGAUAAAUGGGCCCAAUCUAUCCGACCCAAAAUAGGAGAAAUAUUAUGACCCAACA
rnacentral:lncRNA from 1 species